rnacentral:lncRNA from 1 species
AAAAUUAAAAUUCAUCCUAUCUACUUUACAGAGGAUGAAAGGAAUAUAACAAGGUCUUACACGUCAUGCCAUUUAACCUGAAACAACCAACCAAAGAAGGCAGGGAAAUUUCUUGUAGAAUCAAAAUGUUUUGCAUGUGACUAUGGUGACUGAUUAAGUUGCAGGUUCUUAAUAUGGCUGCAACGCUAUUAGUUCAAAGAAUAGACAAGCUGCUACAAAUUCACGAGGAAGUUCCAGGGUCCUGUUCCUAUCCUGCAAAUUCAGAAGCUCAAAGAUUAGAAUGUUAUCAAGAGGUGUUAACUCUGCUUCUUAAAACACAAAUCAUAAAGAAAAUAACCUGACAGAAUCACAGUUUGACAGGUUCUUAAUAUGGCUGCAACGCUAUUAGUUCAACGAAUAGACAAGCUGCUACAAAUUCCUGAGGAAGUUCCAAGGUCCUGUUCCUGUUCCUAUCCU